AACGAACGCUGGCGGCAUGCCUAACACAUGCAAGUCGAACGAUGGUCUUCGGAUCAUAGUGGCGCACGGGUGCGUAACGCGUGGGAAUCUGCCCUUGGGUUCGGAAUAACAGUUGGAAACGACUGCUAAUACCGGAUGAUGUCGAUAAGACCAAAGAUUUAUCGCCCGAGGAUGAGCCCGCGUCGGAUUAGCUAGUUGGUGGGGUAAAGGCCUACCAAGGCGACGAUCCGUAGCUGGUCUGAGAGGAUGAUCAGCCACACUGGGACUGAGACACGGCCCAGACUCCUACGGGAGGCAGCAGUGGGGAAUAUUGGACAAUGGGCGCAAGCCUGAUCCAGCAAUGCCGCGUGAGUGAUGAAGGCCUUAGGGUUGUAAAGCUCUUUUACCCGGGAAGAUAAUGACUGUACCGGGAGAAUAAGCCCCGGCUAACUCCGU
rnacentral:rRNA from 1 species